UUUGAACUGUUCAUUUCCAUUUAUCUUAUUUGAUUUUUUUUAUGAUUAGUAUUUUUAUUGUUAUUAGAUGAUAAAACAUUAAUAGUAUUUUAUGUGUGAUUUUUUUUAAAAAAAUUCAUAAUAUUUUAAAAUAAGAUGGACGUUAAAUGUUGGACACAGAUUCUUACGGAUGCACUUAUU
rnacentral:pre_miRNA from 1 species